GGGGGUACGAAUGUGGGGGUGUUUCUGAAUGGUAAUUUUUGUUGAACAUUGUGUUGUGAUGGGGCUACCAACCCUUAACUGUUUUGGAGUUUAAAUUGGAAGUGCCCUUCUGGUACGAGGCCUGACCGGAGGCUUUUAAUCUGGUACCACGGGUAACCAGGAGCCCACGGAACUUGUUCCGUCCUGGUUAGUUGGUGCGGCCCUUCGGGGAGUAUCGUGGUGGUUGUGGUUUAACACCCAAAUGCGGGUAGAGCAUCGCUCGACGUGGAGUUGCGUCAUACAACCGGGUUCCGUGACCCAGAUUACGGAAGAGGCUUAGAUAGUCCUCGUGCCAAACCAAGGUAGAAGUCACAACCAAACAGUCGUGUCUUUAAUUGGUACCUGCGGAAUUGUUCCAAGGGGGCGGUGAUUGACGCUUGAAUUAAUCCUAUACUAGGAACCGUGAGAUUAAGCCAUCGCGGCAGGUGCUCACGUUAAGCCCACUGACUUUCAUGUCCCUAUCUACUAUCUAGCGAAACCACAGCCAAGGGAACGGGCUUGGAAUAAUUAGCGGGGAAAGAAGACCCUUUUGAGCUUGACUCUAAUCUGGCAGUGUAAGGAGACAUAAGAGGUGUAGAAUAAGUGGGAGAUAUUAGACUUCGGUUUGGUAUCGACAAUGAAAUACCACUACUCUUAUUGUUUCCUUACUUACUUGAUUAAAUGGAACGUGUAUCAUUUCCUAGCCAUUAUACGGAUAUAAUUAUUAUGUCUUAUGGUAUUGGGUUUUGAUGCAAGCUUCUUGAUCAAAGUAUCACGAGUUUGUUAUAUAAUCGCAAACAAAUUCUUUAAUGAGAGAAUGCAUUUAUGUAUUAUUGAUUUAAAAAUUUGGUAUAACUCCAAUUACUCAGGUAUGAUCCAAUUCAAGGACAUUGCCAGGUAGGGAGUUUGACUGGGGCGGUACAUCUCUCAAAUAAUAACGGAGGUGUCCCAAGGCCAGCUCAGUGCGGACAGAAACCACACAUAGAGCAAAAGGGCAAAUGCUGACUUGAUCUCGGUGUUCAGUACACACAGGGACAGCAAAAGCUCGGCCUAUCGAUCCUUUUGGUUUAAAGAGUUUUUAACAAGAGGUGUCAGAAAAGUUACCAUUAGGUCGACCUUGAGGGUUAAACCUUAUGAAUGGCCUUCAU
rnacentral:ncRNA from 1 species